UACGAAGGGGGCUAGCGUUGUUCGGAUUUACUGGGCGUAAAGCGCACGUAGGCGGAUCGUUAAGUCGGGGGUGAAAUCCUGGAGCUCAACUCCAGAACUGCCUUCGAUACUGGCGAUCUUGAGUCCGGAAGAGGUGAGUGGAACUCCGUAGUGUAGAGGUGGAAUUCGUAGAUAUUAGGAAGAACACCAGUGGCGAAGGCGGCUCACUGGUCCGGUACUGACGCUGAGGUGCGAAAGCGUGGGGAGCAAACAGG
rnacentral:rRNA from 1 species